rnacentral:lncRNA from 1 species
UUCCGGCGAUAGAGCGAAAACACCUUCCCUCCCUCCUUUUUUUUUCCCCCUCCUUCUCAAACAACAAAGCGCGACUAUAGAAUUCAAAAUCGAACGAAUCAAACUACUGAAAUUAAAACAACCGUAAUCACAAUCAACAUCGGCGAUAAGAAUGGAUCAAAAUUUGAAAGCAAACAGAAAUUGAAAAGCUAAAAUAAAUAACAACAAUGAUGAGAUUGAGGGAAAGAGGAUCAUCGGGGAAGAAUUUAAGAGGUGCAAUGCUCUUUGACGAAUCGUCCGCCGCACGGACCUUCGUCGGCGUCACCGUCAACCACCAUGGGUUUGAACGGUGUUCUUCUUGGAAACAGAGCUGCGUUGGCGGUUCGCGUGGCUAGUGAAGCAGAUCUGGCGGUGCGGUGUGUUCCGACAGAUCUUGUGGUGGGUUCUGGUAGAUCUCGUGAUGGUGGUGGCGGAGCUUGGUAGUGGUGCGGUGGUUCCCGACUGAUCUUUGUGGUGGCUUGGAGAGCUCGCGGGGGGUUACGUUGUCGGCGCCGAAGAGAUCACCGGUGACGGCAGCGCUUGUCGGAGAGUGGUCGUGGAAGACACCGGGAGGGAGAGUACGGAGAAGAAGGAAGGAAGAUCGAGAUUUGAUGUGAGAAGGUGCACAAUAAAAUUAUACACCUAAAUUAAUCUGAAGGCUGAUAAUAGUGAUCCACCAAAGAUCACUUACCUUCAUGGUCCACUGUAGACAUCGUCAUGAAUUCUAC